GACGAACGCUGGCGGCGUGCUUAACACAUGCAAGUCGAACGGAAAGGCCCUGCUUGCAGGGUACUCGAGUGGCGAACGGGUGAGUAACACGUGGGUGAUCUGCCCUGCACUUCGGGAUAAGCCUGGGAAACUGGGUCUAAUACCGGAUAGGAGCCAUUUUUAGUGUGAUGGUUGGAAAGUUUUUUCGGUGUAGGAUGAGCUCGCGGCCUAUCAGCUUGUUGGUGGGGUAAUGGCCUACCAAGGCGGCGACGGGUAGCCGGCCUGAGAGGGUGGACGGCCACAUUGGGACUGAGAUACGGCCCAGACUCCGACGGGAGGCAGCAGUGGGGAAUAUUGCACAAUGGGCGCAAGCCUGAUGCAGCGACGCCGCGGGGGGGAGGACGGCCUUCGGGUUGUAAACUCCUUUCGCUAGGGACGAAGCUUUUUGUGACGGUACCUAGAGAAGAAGCACCGGCUAACUACGUG
rnacentral:rRNA from 1 species